CUGGAUGGAAGUCACGGAACCUGUUGAGUCAAUUUCUUGGGAUGGGUUCCUGGUUCAGAUGGUACCAGUUGGUCCACCAGAAUGCAAGGAUUUUCCUGUGUCAUGUAAUUAAAUCUUUGAAUUUUCUGAGGAAUUUUAUUUCUGAAGAAAAAUGGCUAUUGACUUUUCACAGAAGAAUAUUGUCUGUUCAUUUCUUAAAAUAAAAAGUUAAAGUGUCUUCUUAA